GAUGAACGCUGGCGGCGUGCCUAAUACAUGCAAGUCGAGCGAACAGACCAUGAGCUUGCUCCUCUGACGUUAGCGGCGCACGGGUGAGUAACGCGUGGAUAACCUACCUAUAUGUCUGGUAUCACUUCGGGAAACCGGCUCUAAUACCGUAUAAUAUAUUGAACCGCAUUGUUCAAUAGUGAAAUACGGUUUUUGUGUCUCUUAUAGAUGGAUCCGCGCCUGUUGAGAUAGUUGUUAAGGUAACGGCUUACCAAGGCGACGAUGCGUAGCCGACCGGGGAGGGUGAUAGGCGACAUGGGAGCGGAACCACGGUCAAGACUACUGAGGGAGGCAGCAGUAGGGAAUCGUACGCAACAGGGGAAAACCUGACGGAACAAGGCGGAGUGAGUGAUGGAGGUCUUGGGAUCGGAAAACCCGGUUAUUAGGGAAGAACAGAUGUGUAAGUAACUAUGCCCGUAGUGACGGUACCUAAUAAGAAAGCAACGGCUAACUACGUG
rnacentral:rRNA from 1 species